rnacentral:rRNA from 1 species
CGCGUAGGCGGAUGACCAAGUCAGGGGUGAAAUCCUUCGGCUUAACCGGAGAACUGCCUUUGAUACUGGUCGUCUGGAGUGAGGUAGGGGCAUGUGGAACUUCCGGUGGAGCGGUGAAAUGCGUAGAUAUCGGAAGGAACACCGGUGGCGAAGGCGACGUGCUGGACCUCAACUGACGCUGAGGCGCGAAAGCCAGGGUAGCGAACGGGAUUAGAUACCCCGGUAGUCCUGGCCCUAAACGAUGGGUACUGGAUUGUAGACUGAACAUGGGUUUACAAUCGAAGCAAAAGUGUUAAGUACCCCGCCUGGGGAGUAUGGUCGCAAGGCUGAA